GCCGCCGUGUUUGAACUGUUUUCCGGCGAGAAAUCCGAAGAGGGAAGAGCUCGUAGCGGCGAAUUUGAUGGAAAAUAUGUGGAGAAGCGAAAAAACUGAUUCGAUUAAUUCCGUUGGGUUUUGGAAAAUCUUCGGAAUAUGAUGUUUUAAUAGUUUUCAAUCUGAAUUUCUGUUCUCUUCGCUGCUCGCUCUUUCCUUAUCUCGUUUCUCUCUCGGCUCUCUGCUAUCCAAACGCAGCCCUCCGCCCCUGAUGAUGAUGUUGCUCUGAAGGGUUAAUCAAUUUCUAUUUCUCCGUUUUUUCAAUCCAUUUGUUGAAUUUCUUAGCUUUACUUACCUAAGUCUCUGUGUUUCUAAAUCUGUUUAGGGUUUAUGAUUUUUUGUUUGUGACUUUUUCGCUCUUUGAUACUUCUUAUCUGUUGCAUUUUAGUUUGAUGCUUUAAGUUGUGAAAAUGUUUUUGUUUAUUGUGAUUUUGAGCUGAAGUAAUGUGAUAUUGUGUAGUUUUAUUUUAGAAUUGGUAUAGUAGAAGCUAGGGAGGAAUGAUCUUCGAAGUUCUAUACUUUGUUUGCGUUGCUUAGCAUUAGUCCUCAAUACUUUGAUUAGCUUACGGUUUCUUGCAUAGACUGUGAUUGAGGAAUUAUUGGUGAAAAUCUAGCUACAUAUUUGAAGUGAAAUUCUAGGUAAAACGAUGACUUGGUGUGGUACUUGUGCUCGGCUUUGGUGUCUUCCAGCAUAAGAAUUACUUGUUUGAAUUGGUGAUGGAUAUGCCACGGAUCAUAUAACCAUUGUUUAUGCAUCUAUGAUUUUCCUGCUCAUUAUCUUACCAUAUUCAUUAUCUGAAGUAUUUAGCUCUGUUCAUUUUCCUCGAUUCUACGAGUGAACAAAACUUUCUUGCUAGAAUAGUUUCUCGACUUUGUUGUCUUCCUACAUAAGAUUUACUUGUUUGAAUUGGUGAUGGAUAUACCACAGAUCAUAUAUACACUGUUUAUGCAUCUAUGGCUCUUCUUGUUCAUUAUCUUGACAUGUUCAUUCUCUCGAGGGUUAUCUAGCUCUGUUCAUUUUCCUCGAUUCAAAGAGUGAACAAAACUUUCUUGCUAGAAUAGUAUCUCUGAUUCUUUCAGUGGGUCAUGCAGCUCUGUUCAUUUUUCUCAAUUCUAAGAGUUGACAAAACUUUGUUACUAGAAUAGUUUCUUGACUUGGAAUUCUAUGAAAUACUUUGUAUAUAGAGAUAGAAGUGGCCGUGCUUGUUGGUCUUCAACUAGAUUACAUAUAUGUUGUGGAUUUCUCCAUGUUGUAGCCUAUGUGUUCGAAUACCAUUUCUCGUUCCAGAAUGAGGGAAUUAAGGGGCUUUCUUGAUGCAUAUAUAGAACAGGUGGAGAAAAACCGCCAGUUAUUGGACUUUUUGCUCUCAAAAGAGUAAUUUGAUAGAUAGGUGUAUACAUCUGAUCUGGAAUCGAACGUGGCCGAAUGUAAGAUGAUUGUAGAGAACAAGCUAUGGCCUGCAUAUUUGAGCUAUACACUGGUCCUGUGUAAUUAAUUGUUUUGCUUAGCUGAAAUCAUUAAAAUAUAAAUGCAUUUUGAAACAGGAAAAUCGAUUUUCUUAUUUGCUGAGUUUGAUGUACUAGCAAUUAAUGGGUUCUUGUCCUGUGUCUAA